GAGAGGGGGGAGAAGAAGGGAAAAUAAAUACACUGAAUACAGGAUGUGAGAUGCACAGUGCUGUGUAAGUUCUUUUCCUUUGCAAAUCAAAGAAGUGCUUCUGAAGAGCCCUAACCCAGGCCUGGUGCAGGCGGUGUAGGGCACACGGUUAAUCCGGCAGCAGAUCCAAUGCACCAGAAAAGCUCUCGUGGCCUCUCAGACAAGCAAAACAGAGAGACUGAAUGCUCAGCACGAGUGCUGCUUCCAAUUGUUGCUGCGUUUAGCACUGUGCUCUCACCUGAGGCGUGCUUCAGCAAUCCCACCCAUGGUGCCUCUCAGCUCCUCCUGCAAAACCAGGCAGGCCGUGCUGGAAGCAAAUGCAUUUUCUUUCCAUCCUGGGGUAACACACUUAUGUAAGAGCCAGGAACAUCCACGGAAAGAAAGAAGUCAACAUAAACCUAACAAUUCCUUCGGCUUAUGGUUAUAAUGCACGAGUAUGCAGUCUGCUAAACCCAUAGGCAGGAGUAAUGCUUCUAUGGAAAACCCCCUAUGCUUACAGCAGCUCUUCCAGACCCAAGGGCUGUGAAGCUCAGCCGUGUGAUCCUCAUUGUCACUUACUCAUUGUCACUGCUCUGCUCUGCUCUCAGACAUGUGGCAAGGUGCAGCUGCGUGUCACAGAGCCACAUUGCCUUCAGGGCUGGCUGUGGUCUGCAGCAACCUGCUGCUGCUAGCCUGUGCCCAUGGGAUGUCCCAUCUAACCUGGGGGAGGGAUGGCUUUCCAUGCAAGCUGCCGGCGCUGCCUCCAGAAAGCUGCCUCAGCUCAUAUAUCAAAAAGCAGAUAUAAUUAUUUCCUCACUGAGGAAAGCUUCCAUUUAGCUUAUUUCCUCUCCUUUCCUUCUCAAAAUUAUUAAUUAUCUAAUUACAACCACAUUCCGCAGCCAAGCUCAGGAUUUGACAGGCUUCCCAGGACCACUUAGGAAAGCUGAACUGCUCGGGGUGUGUGAGCAGCAGUGGUUUGCAUGCGUGCAUGUCCUGUGGAUGGCAGACCAGCCCCUUCCUAAUGCUCACACUGCUGCAGCUCCAGAGAGAGGGCAUGUAGGGGCUCAGAAAGAGAUAAAAAAUAAAGGGAGGGGGAGGACACCUUGUCUCCUUUGGCUCUGAUUCACAGAAUGGACACGGUCACAUAUUCCUGGACAACCGAUGCCAAAAGAACUCGCAGCCCACAUAUCUCUUGGGAGCGACCCUCCCAUGCUCUUGUUUUGGGUUAUUUUUUCUACAAUGUAAAGUUAGCAGAUCAGACCAAGCAGCAGGCAAUCUCUUAUCUUCUGUACAGCAUGACCUCCAACACUUGAGGUUUGUAGGAAUGGGUCAAACAAGCUGUAGUGGCAAUGCUACGCGGCCUGAAGCAGUAAUUGAGCACCUGGGAAGGCAGAGCCAACCCAGGGGAGCUCAGCUGCAUGCAGUGCACUUGAGUGACCAGAAGGCAUGGAGCCAGGAUCCAGCCCUUCCCAGCCCUCAUUUAAGGUUUGGCAGUAGAGGUGAAGGUAUCUGUUGUUGGACAUCCCUGUGUACCUGAGGCCUUCUAAAGGAUGGCUCUUUUGUACCUGUGGUUACCUACCUCAAUAGGCAUUAUCUACACCUGGGUUUGUGGUCCCUGUAGAGCUGCCAACACCCCUGGAUAAAACCCAUUGCCUGGGGCUGGCCUUCAACAGGGAGGACAAGUGAGGGCUCUGCAAUGAAGUGUUUUGCUGCUGGGACUCUCAGGGUUUCUGCGUUAUGUCCUGCCUCUCUGCAGCAACCUCCUGGCAGUCAGUGUGUUUGCUCCAAGGUGCUGCAUCCCUCCCUUGCCAGAAAAAAAACAGAAGGAAAAAUAAAAGCUUUAAACAGGAAAGAGUCCCCCAGAGGAACAGUUCCCCCAGCCCUGCACUCCUCCACAGUCCAAGCCUUGGCCUCUCCGGGGCAGUGGGGUUCGUCGCAGCUGGAGGAGGAGGUAGGUUUGUGGGAGCCCCUUGUUAAAAUCUUGGCAGUACAUCACUGAAAGCGCUGCUAGAAAUUGCCAAAAGCCGGAAGCUGUUAAUGAGCAGUUGGAGCAGGAAAAAGCAGAGCUGUUUCGAAAUUUGAAAGGACCGUGUAAGCUCUGUCCUCAGCUCUGCCCAGCUGCCUCGUGGGUGGCUCUGAAGAGCGAGCGCCUGGGGACACCAGCAGCAUCUCCUGACUCGCACAAGGACCCACGGUGCAAGGAGCAAGGGAUAGCCAGGGGCCACCUCCAGCUCUCCUGAAUGAUGCUGCAGCAAAGCCUGUGUCCACGCCGCUUCCCUGGCUCCUCUCUUCCCCUCCCUGUGGGCACUUGGAGACAAGCCUGGCUUUGCAUCAGAAAGGUGUGGAAUAGAGGGAAGAACAGGGAGAGGGAGAAGGCAGGAAAUGAGAUUUUCUUCUUGGGCAGCUCCACUAAAACAAGUAGGGAUGGGGAGGGAGGUAGCGUAGAUGCACACAUCCUUAAACAAUGGCUUUGAAGCUGAUGAAGCUUGUGCAGAUGAGUGCAGUUUUUUAUUUUUUUUUUUAUUUUUUUUUUGCUCCCUCUGCCUUUUGAGCCUCUCUGACUCUCCAGCCUUGAGGCAUCCCAUAUCAAUAUGGGUUUCAACUGCUGGUCCAUAAGUAAUUCCAGGCAGGCGUUUGGUUCUCCCUGCCUGAAACACACACCGACUGCAUGCUUGGGCCAGCCAGAUUAGUGCUGAAGUGAUGGAAAUACACUGCACAGAUAUUGGAUAAGGAAGGUGAAGUGGUCAGGCAUGAGCCAUACGUUUCUGUUGAGAUACAGACUCGUGCAAUGCCUAUCCUAUCCAGCUUGCAAGCUAGGGCUUGGUGUGCUUUAGGACACAGCUGCAUGACCUGUUGUUACAGUUUAUUGACUCAGCUAUGAUGACUGACCAUAUAUAUGUGCUAAGCUGUACGCAAUGUAAAAUAUAUCGUGUUCUGGUAGGCUGGUUGAGAAUAUCCAGGUGGAAAAUAUCAGUAGUGGCAAGGUCCUCCUUGCUUUUGGAAAUAUGUGGAACUGUGGCUAUGGGCGGCAUGGGCUUCAUGCAGCAUGAUAUGCAAUAUGCUCUGACAGUGCUGGUGGUCAGAGUGAAUGUCUCUGGUCCCUCUCUGCACAACAUGGGCUGUAAAAACACCUCCUGCCUCCAUCCCGUUUUGGAAAAGCAAUGAAUAUUGGACAAAGGGAAGCAUUUUCUCCCCUCCCCCUCUCCCCUCCUGCCAAAAUAACAGAAAUUCUAAGAAAAGCACCUACUCCAAGAAUAAAUAUAUACAUCUGCAGCUUUAUUCUUCUUCCAAGGGAGCUCUUUCGGGGCUCAGCCAGCACCUUCCCUGCUCUCCUCCUAUUUCCUGGUUGCAGCAUAUACUCCACUGCAGUCUGCAAACUUCCUCAGUGGCAGCAUCUCCAUGGGGAGGAGGAAAUGUCAUUUUGUGGCUCAGGGACACUGGAGCAAGCCUUGCAGUGUCUGUAGGUAGGCAAGCACAAAGGGUACUGCUGGGUGCUUUAAAUUCAUCAGUGCAGCACAAAGGCCAUAUACGAGUACUUAACAGUGCUGCCUCCUAAGAGUAAAUCAGCAAAUGGAUGACAGCAGCUAUCCAUUACAACUAACUCAACUAAUUCCACUGGUGGCUUAAUGCCAGUGGUAUUAACAGUGAAAACCCCACUUCACAGGAAUCUCUCUGGUUCAAACUCCUUAUUAAAUAUAAAAAAAUAAAAACUUGGGCCACCCACUAAAAUGCAGAAAGAGUUUGCAUAGAAUCAAUGGCAUUUUGCGUGCUCCUGUGAACAAUCUGCAGGACAGGUAAGAUUUCCUUAUGAACUCGAGAUGCUUUUUAAUAUUUGAUACAGUUCCUGACAAAUAGCAGCCGAAACACCUGUAUGCCAGAUGUGCACAGCUGUUCGUGUGCUGUUGCUGAUCAAUCUUCAGAUUACAUCAUGUUCCAGAUGCCUGACUUCAGAAAAGCUUGUAAGGCAGAGCUGGAGCAAGCAAACUGCAAGCUUAGGCAUUUCUUUUUCCUGACUGUGGUGCCGUGGCUUCUCUGCACGCGAUGCUGAGCCCUUUUUUAUCACCUUGACCUAUGUGACAUUGUCUCAGAGUGAAUGAGGGGCACCUCCAGCCCGCCAGCUGGGAAGGGGUAUUGUCAUCCUUUAGCCAUGGGUAACAUCUGUGCAUAAGUAAUGUGCUGGGAAGGUGUGCUACGUAUUGCUCAUCCUGUGUUUCUACCACUUGAGACCAAAAAAGACAUCAAUAUCAGUCUCUGAAGAGGUUUAUUUUGGUGUUUCUCCACAGUGUAACACGAGGCACAGCUUCAGUGUCUCCCUACACGUGUCUGUAUGGGGAUGUAUGCAUGUUGCUAUGAAAGUAAAGUCCUUUUGGUUUUCAGUGGAUUUAUUCCUCAUUAAGACAGCACUUGUUCCUGGAAUGCCAGGAAGCAAAACUGUGCCUGCCCUGAGGGGAACAUGGGGAUGACUGCUGCAAAAAGAUGUGCUUUCUUGAGUGUUUCUAUUUCUGUAUUUGAAGUGGGGACUUGGAGUGCAGCAAAAUUUCCCCUUUGCUGCUUGGAGCUGCAUUCACAACUGGCGCUUCAAUCUGAUGCCAGGACAGAUUCCCUGAAGCUGAGGGGAUUUCAUUCUCAGUUUUUAUACUGAGGAUCUUUACAGAGCAUCACAGAAAACACCCAGUGAGAAGGAGCAGGAUCUCCCCAUCUCCUUGCCCAGCAAGAUCCCAGCCACCAUACCUGGGUUUUAUCAGAGCCAGGACUUACAUCCCAGACCACGUUCCCAAAUAUUUGCAGAGGAAAGCGUGCUGCUUUGGCAUCUCCUCCCUUGCAUGAGGCAGUGUUUGAAGAAUGUGCCCUCGCUCACCACACCCUGGUCCCUGAAGUCAGCAGUCACAGUUGCAGUGUUUCCCACUGCAGCAGGUGCAGGUUUUUGAUAACCACCCAGACUCUGAGUAACGGUGGUGAUUCAGUGUGUGUGUUACUAAUCUGCCAGGAUUUUUGGACGGGAUUGUACCAGGCCAGGUCUCCAUCUGGGAUUAAUCAGCGCAGCUUCA